rnacentral:rRNA from 1 species
UACGUAGGAGGCGAGCGUUGUCCGGAGUUACUGGGCGUAAAGCGCACGCAGGCGGUCAGAUUAGUCUGCAGUGACAGUCGUCGGCUCAACUGACGAAGUACUGUGGAAACUGUCUGACUUGAGGGCUUCAGAGGGACACGGAAUUCCGGGUGGAGUGGUGAAAUGCGUAGAUAUCCGGAGGAACACCAAAGGCGAAGGCAGUGUCCUGGGAAGCAUCUGACGCUCAGGUGCGAAAGCUAGGGGAGCGAACAGG